rnacentral:lncRNA from 1 species
UCAUGUGAUAAGUAUUCUCACUUUAAUUUGUAACUGCUAAAAUUUCGUAGUGGCGUUGCUUCUGAAUGGUGAAAGUACGGUGCAGUGAAAUUUCUGGAGCCAUGUCUAUAUUAAUGCAAUCAUAAUCACCUAUACUACCUAUCAGAAAGAAAAUAAUAACGUAAAGAAAGGACCAAAAUAUUGAGGGAAAAUGAAUAGAAUAACAGUAGUUAAGGAUAAAGCAAAAAAUAUAACACAUGAAUUGAUGGAAUUU